UACGGGGGGGGCAAGCGUUGUUCGGAAUUACUGGGCGUAAAGGGCGUGUAGGCGGCCAACUAAGUCCGACGUGAAAUCCCCAGGCUUAACCUGGGAACUGCGUCGGAUACUGGAUGGCUUGAAUUCGGGAGAGGGAUGCAGAAUUCCAGGUGUAGCGGUGAAAUGCGUAGAUAUCUGGAGGAAUACCGGUGGCGAAGGCGGCAUCCUGGACCGACAUUGACGCUGAAGCGCGAAAGCUAGGGGAGCAAACGGG
rnacentral:rRNA from 1 species